rnacentral:snoRNA from 1 species
GCGCGUGAUUUCAACACGGUGUGAGCCCCCCAUGCUUGUUCCGUCUGUAAUACACGCUAUAAUGAAUUCACAACGGAUUUCGCUAGCACCGCGUCAAGUGGCCGGAGUUUGAUAGUAGGCCGUUGUACAGAA